rnacentral:rRNA from 1 species
AUUGAACGCUGGCGGCAGGCCUAACACAUGCAAGUCGAACGAGUGGCGGACGGGUGAGUAAUGUCUGGGAAACUGCCUGAUGGAGGGGGAUAACUAAUGGAAACGGUAGCCACUACCGCAUACCAUCGGAUGUGCCGAGAUCGGAUUAGCUAGUAGGUGGGGUAAAGGCUCACCUGGGCGACGAUCCCUAGCUGGUCUGAGAGGAGGACCAGCCACACUGGAACUGAGACACGGUCAAGCCUCCUACGGUAGGCAGCAGUGGGGAAUAUUGGACAAUGGGCGCAAGCCUGAUCCAGCCAUGCCGCGUGUAUGAAGAAGGCCUUCGGGUUGUAAAGUACUUUCAGUGGGGAGGCGUUACCCGCAGAAGAAGCACCGGCUAACUCCGUGCCAGCAGCCGCGGUAAUUC